rnacentral:rRNA from 1 species
UACGUAGGGUGCGAGCGUUAAUCGGAAUUACUGGGCGUAAAGCGUGCGCAGGCGGUUUUGCAAGCCGGAUGUGAAAUCCCCGGGCUCAACCUGGGAAUGGCAUUCGGGACUGCAAGGCUGGAGUGCGGCAGAGGAGACUGGAAUUCCUGGUGUAGCAGUGAAAUGCGUAGAUAUCAAGUGGAACACCAGUGGCGAAGGCGAGUCUCUGGACAUUUUCCUGACGCUGAGGCACGAAAGCCAGGGGGAGCAAACGGG